AGAAGCCACCUCCAGUUCCCAAGGUAACCAUCUGUGCUGUAAGAUAGUUUCAAUUCUUUAUAUGAGGUAUCUUUAAGGAUCAUUAUUUAAAGAGGAUCAUUAUUUAAAGAAUAUCUUAACAUACCGAUCUUGUGAAGUUCUCAUAUUGCGUUUGGGAUUAAAUGUGAUUAGAAUGUAAUAAUUGAAGAUGAAAACCAUAUGGUAAAUGUUAGUGAAGAAAUUAUCAACCCAGUUUCUAUAUUCUUGACAAUUUUAUUAAUUCUCCGUGCAUUUACUUUUUCAUCCAAUUCAUUUUUUCUCUACCUUCAAAUGUUCUGCUUCUCAUCUGCUGUAUUAAAAUUUUCUGCUUCUCAUCUGCUGUGCUUGUCUGGUUACUCAUGAAUCCCAUAUCAACAAAAAUUAUGCGCAGCUGAAGAUGUUAUCGUCUUCCUAAAGUGCAGAACACUCAUGACCUUAUAUGACCAUUUCUUAUCAAUAUUGCAUAUGUUUGCAAAUCCCAUUUAAAGAAAAAUAAAGAUCAAGUUCAAUCCUUGUUAA
rnacentral:misc_RNA from 1 species